rfam:Myotis lucifugus cont2.56362, whole genome shotgun sequence.
GCCGGUGUGGCUCAGUGGACAGAGCGUCAGCCUGCGGACUGAAGGGUCCUGGUUCGAUUCCAGUCAAGGGUA